GAAUUAGAUGGAAGCAAGUAAUGGAGGUGUGAUGGAGGGAGAUAAAAAGGAAGGGGGACAAAGUGAGGAAGGGGUUGCUGCGACUUUUCAUCAAGUUGGAGCUACUGCAGGGAGCAGAAUGAGCUGGAUUAAAAUCCAGUGUGUGCAUCGAAAGCAGAGGCAGCGAGAGAGUGAAGAGAGAGGAAGGAAGAAGAUUUGGCCCGGUUUGCAGCAUUGUGAAGGAGAAGCAGUUGGAUGGAUAAAUGCGGAGCUUCCAUUGUCGGCGCUAAAAGGUCAGCAGGGAUCCCACCUCUAUAGACGGAGAGUCACCCAUGAGAGGAGGCGGACUGGAUGAAGCCUGUGCGACAUGCUGUCACAGUGAGACGGACAAAGAGAACACACGCCGUCACCUUUUACUUCGUUAUCCAGCCACAUCUGCCAUGUGUCAUUUCUCUUUUUUUGUUUGUCUAAAUCAAGAUAACUGCUGUCAGUAUCUUCUCAUCACAAUAAAAAGACAAUGACGUCGCCCUG